GGUUAAGUUAGAAAGGGCGCACGGUGAAUGCCUUGGCACUAGGAGCCGAUGAAGGACGGGACUACCACCGAUAUGCUUCGGGGAGCUGUAAGUAAGCUUUGAUCCGGAGAUUUCCGAAUGGGGAAACCCCCUAUC
rnacentral:rRNA from 1 species